rnacentral:rRNA from 2 species
CCUGGCGGCACUAGCGCGGUGGUCCCACCUGACCCCAUGCCGAACUCAGAAGUGAAACGCCGUAGCGCCGAUGGUAGUGUGGGGUCUCCCCAUGUGAGAGUAGGGAACCGCCAGGU